CGCACUUUUGCAGAAAACCCCCUACCGUUUUCUUUAAUCAACCCGCACUCACCUCCCAUAAUUUUGUUCCCAGGUGUUCCCUAUCAUGAUCUGAGCUCAGCAAACAACUCAACCGGUCCCAUGUUCGAUCGUUAUAGUAGCGGCCCGGGUGGUUUGUUCACACAGAACAAGAUGAGGAGGUGUAACCCUGUGGCUUUCGGCAUGACACCGGCUGUCAAGGUCUAGAAUGUUUGUCUGAAUGCCUGCGCUCCACAGCCAACCCACUGCACCAGAUGCUGAUGGUCGUUGAGUUUGGAUCUUCGCCGUUUGAUGUUGGCAUGGAACAUGAGGAGAGCGACGACGAGUUGUCAUUAGUCUUCUUAUAUAUGAAGCUGUGCAGCAGUGCGGAGACAAGAAGGAACUCGGCGGACAAUGGUUCCGCCACACUAUUCCUUUCCUCGUGGAGGUGACAGGGCACCGGUUUAGAGUUUGGUUCGAGUACACGGUUGACUUCAGCUUCAUGUGCAUGGAAGGCGCCGUUCGAUGCUUCAACGAGAAGGACCGUGUCAUGAGUUGGAACCAGCCAGUGUGGAGGCUGCUGGUCUCUCUUCAAGUUUGGGUACGUGCACUGGUGAACAGGAGCCGUAGUGCGUGCUGUCCCAUGGUACAAAAA